rnacentral:rRNA from 1 species
UACGAAGGGUGCAAGCGUUACUCGGAAUUACUGGGCGUAAAGCGUGCGUAGGUGGUUCGUUAAGUCUGAUGUGAAAGCCCUGGGCUCAACCUGGGAAUGGCAUUGGAAACUGGCGACCUAGAGUGCGGUAGAGGGUAGUGGAAUUCCCGGUGUAGCAGUGAAAUGCGUAGAGAUCGGAAGGAACACCAGUGGCGAAGGCGGCUACCUGGCCAGAUACUGACACUGAAGCACGAAAGCGUGGGGAGCAAACAGG